rnacentral:rRNA from 1 species
UGGGCAAUCUGCCCUUCACUCUGGGACAAGCCCUGGAAACGGGGUCUAAUACCGGAUAUUACUCCUGCCUGCAUGGGCGGGGGUUGAAAGCUCCGGCGGUGAAGGAUGAGCCCGCGGCCUAUCAGCUUGUUGGUGGGGUAAUGGCCCACCAAGGCGACGACGGGUAGCCGG